AACUUCACGCGGUCCAACGGUUUUUGUUAUUCCAGCACAGGCUGUUGUUAAUAGAGGAGGGAAGGAUAACCUUCAACCUAUUGCUCAGAAGAGCAAUGCUGUCCAUGGUGCUGCUGUACCUUCUGUGAAUUCCCCUAAGCCAUCUGGUGUUAAUGGUCCCAAGGUUCAACUUCCAUUGCAGAAAAAGUUAGAAACUCUAGAGCAGAUGAAAGAGGAACUACGCAAGAAGCAGGAAAUGCUGGAGCAGAAGCGGAAUGACUUCAGGCGCCAGUUGGACAAACUUCAAAAACAAGUAUUGGGAACUUCUUUACUCUUGCGUACCAUAAUCCUAAUAUCUGCUUCUUCAGUAAUUUUACAUGUGCUAAUAACUGUUACAUGUAGCAAUCAGUUUCAGCAAUUGCAUGUUUUCAGUGUAUUUUUUAAUCAGCUAGACUGCUGUAGAACUGUAGCUAAGUCCUGAAAAACUUUACUGGUGGUGUUGGGCAUUGUCAGAGAUGCAUGCCUUUAUUUACCAGUACUUUGACUACAUGCACAUGCUAAACGUGUUGAGUGAGAAUGAUGAAGUCAGGAAAACAGAACCUAAGGGUUUUUAGAUAUAAAUGUUGGGUAUUAUCCACCACUGGUUUAACAUUUUUGGUAACCUUUUGCAGUCUUCUGGUGUCAAAGGUGAUCUACCAACUGAGCAAGCUGCUAAGAAGCAAAAGGUGGGAAUUGCAGCUGAUCCUGCAAAAGCUUCAACUCCAAGUUUGUCUGAACCUGGUGCACCUACAACAAUACCAUGCACUGUAGGGAUGACAGAUAAAAACAAAUCAACAGAGAAUGUUGGGUCUCAUGGUCCAACAUCAAAUGCCAC
rnacentral:lncRNA from 1 species